UACUUAAACCCAUCCGCAUUUAGAUGGGAGCUACUUCCAGGUAUCAGCAAGUAAUUGCUUCCAGUGGAGGAAUGCGGAUAGUUUGGGUUACUAGAAUAGCCAGGCAUACUCAUUGGAGGAACAUAGGUAGGGGGAGCAAAUGACUGUAUGGCAUAAGAUUAGCAAAAUGGGAAAGAUGAACUUGGGAGUGCAUCUGUGAAACAAGCUGUGGCUUUUGUGCUUGCUGCAACAUUGGAAUUGACGAUGCAGAAAUGCUGCUACUUGUGGCAUGUGAACUGAGGAGCUGCAGAUGGAAAGCAUGACAUGUAGGUCAUAGAAAAAACUAGAAUAGAUGUGGAGUUACAAUAUCAAAUGUGAUAAAACCCAAGUUAUAAAAAAUUGCAGGUACAUAUCCUUAUCUGAGCAUACAAGUACAAGCAUAACUACAAGUGUUGCGGGGAGGGUCAUCAUGAUUGCUCAUCCGCAUUAAGAUGGGAGCUACUUCCAGGCAUCAGCAAGUAAUUGCUUCCAGUGGAGGAAUGCGGAUAGUUUGGGUUACUAGAAAAGCCAGGCAUACUCAUUGGAGGAACAUAGGUAGGGGGAGCAAAUGACUGUAUGGCAUAAGAUUAGCAAAAUGGGAAACAUGAACUUGGUGGUGCUUCUGUGAAACGUGAUGUGGCUAUUGUGCUUGCUGCAACAUUGGAAUUGACGAUGCAGAAAUGCUACUUGUGGCAUGUGAACUGAGGAGCUGCAGAUGGAAAGCAUGACAUGUAGGUCACAGAAAACACCAGAAUAGAUGUGGAGUUACAAUAUCAAAUGUGAUAAAACCCAAGUUAUAAAAAAUUGCAGGUACAUAUCCUUAUCUGAGCAUACAAGUAUAAGCAUAACUACAAGUGUUGCGGGGAGGGUCAUCAUGAUUGCUUUACAGUUAACAAAUUCAAUUUCACCUCCUGGGUGCCCAAGGUCACGAGCAGAUUCUAAAAUAUUGUGUCCAGUUUGAGGAUCAGACGUCGCUUACAUGCCAUCCAGUAAUACUAAGUGCAGGACAAGUAAAUAGGAGCUGGAAGAGAAAAGUUAGAUUGUAACAUGACCAAAAAAAGAACAUAAACCAAACUGAAGAACAUGAACUCACUGAC
rnacentral:lncRNA from 1 species